CCGGCACGGGUGAGUAACACGUGUCCAACCUGCCGUCUACUCUUGGCCAGCCUUCUGAAAGGAAGAUUAAUCCAGGAUGGCAUCAUGAGUUCACAUGUCCGCAUGAUUAAAGGUAUUUUCCGGUAGACGAUGGGGAUGCGUUCCAUUAGAUAGUAGGCGGGGUAACGGCCCACCUAGUCAACGAUGGAUAGGGGUUCUGAGAGGAAGGUCCCCCACAUUGGAACUGAGACACGGUCCAA
rnacentral:rRNA from 1 species